rnacentral:misc_RNA from 1 species
UUCUAUAAUCUUGAUUAUGGUAAUUCUUUCUCUAGUAAUUUUCAUGUUGCGUGAUGCAUCAGAAUUAAUCCCCACCGAAAACUAAUAAUAUCACAACUUCCAUUGGUUACAGGUUGCAUCAUUAGAAUGCUACUUCAUAAAAAUGUGUGUGCAAUUAAAAUCCGUAUUUUAUUUCAGCUAUUUUGAACUGCCCUGCUAAUUUUCUUGCUAUUCUGUCUUUGUACAUGUUUGAUUGUGGACUCAGUUUGUCUUUUAUGCACAUCAUAACCAAUUAUAAUUUCUAUCCCUCGCUUAACCAAAUAUAAUCUAUAACUUGAAAAUGCCCAUUUUCUGAAAUUGCUCUAAUUGAGAUAUCUAAUCUAGGGGACCUAUAAUCCAUUCAAUAUUGUGGUUGGUGAUUGGCUUGAGUUUGCUCAUGGACAAGUUGAAAUUUCUGCAAAAUGGUCAAAUACUAUAAAGCAUGUGCUAGUCUACUCUAUCCUCCACUCCCUUUCCCCCUCGAGAACUAAAAAUUUAAUUAGAAUAUAAAGUAAAAUAUUGAGAGAAGAUGUUGGAAAUUUAUAGUUGUGACUGGAUAUUGUGUACCCCUCUUGUGAAAUAGUUGUACAUUGGUCGAUUCUUUUGCAGGCCUGAACAUGA